GUGUGUUUGUGGUUUUGUUUUUUCCAAGUUGGUUCAAAAUUUUAAUCUUUUUUUUUUUAUUUCCAUUCCUGUUUUCUGGAAAUUAACAAACAACAUAUGUUACUAAAUGUUGUUCACUUUGUGACUGUGCAGCUGAUUGCUCAUACAAAAAGUGGACGACCACAACGGCAAGCUGAUGCAGGGAGGCAACAUCAGGACCCUUCUCAGCCCCCCUCCCCUUCUCAACCCCCCUCCCCUUCUCAACCCCCCUCCCCUUCUCACUCCCCCUCCCCUUCCCAGUCCCCCUCCCCUUCCCAGUCCCCCUCCCCUUCCCAGUCCCCCUCAGCUUCCCAGUCCCCCUCAGCUUCCCAGUCCCCCUCAGCUUCCCAGUCCCCUUCUCAGCCCACCUCUCCUUCUCCUUCUGUGCCCCCUUCUCCUCCUUCCCAGUCCCCUUCUCCUUCUCCUUCCAACUCCCCUUCUCAGCCCCCCUCACCCUCUAUUGGCCAAACACUCUCUCCGCCCCCCUCGCCCUCUCAAUCAGACCCACCCACAGAAAAUACAUCCCCAAUCCCUCCUCCUUCCCCCAUCCAGCCUCCUUCCCCUAUCCCUCCUCCUUCCCCCAUCCAGCCUCCUUCCCCCAUCCAGCCUCCUUCCCCCAUCCAGCUGCCUUCCCCACCCAGUGAAUGGGCAGAAGAAGCCCCUGAUGAAAUUAGUGGGGUUCAGCAUGUUGCAGAGGAAAAUGCUGCAGUUGGAGAUCCCAGCACUUUGCCAGCACUUUUAGGGCGGCUAAAAGCCCAUUUAAGGGAUGUUAUAGCCGACA